rnacentral:pre_miRNA from 1 species
AAGGGGUUUCUUUCGGCCUCCAGCGGCAUUAGAAAGUUGUAGGCCGGCGGAAACUACUUGC